GCCUACGGGACGCAGCAGUGGGGAAUAUUGCACAAUGGGGGAAACCCUGAUGCAGCGACGCCGCGUGAGUGAAGAAGUAUUUCGGUAUGUAAAGCUCUAUCAGCAGGGAAGAAAAUGACGGUACCUGACUAAGAAGCCCCGGCUAACUACGUGCCAGCAGCCGCGGUAAUACGUAGGGGGCAAGCGUUAUCCGGAUUUACUGGGUGUAAAGGGAGCGUAGGUGGCAUGGUAAGCCAGAAGUGAAAACCCGGGGCUCAACCCCGCGGAUUGCUUUUGGAACUAUCAGGCUGGAGUGCUGGAGGGGG
rnacentral:rRNA from 1 species